AUUGAACGCUGGCGGCAUGCCUUACACAUGCAAGUCGAACGGCAGCACGGGAGCAAUCCUGGUGGCGAGUGGCGAACGGGUGAGUAAAGUAUCGGAACGUGCCCAGUCGUGGGGGAUAACGUAGCGAAAGUUACGCUAAUACCGCAUACGAUCUAUGGAUGAAAGCGGGGGAUCGCAAGACCUCGCGCGAUUGGAGCGGCCGAUACCAGAUUAGGUAGUUGGUGGGGUAAAGGCUCACCAAGCCGACGAUCUGUAGCUGGUCUGAGAGGACGACCAGCCACACUGGGACUGAGACACGGCCCAGACUCCUACGGGAGGCAGCAGUGGGGAAUUUUGGACAAUGGGCGAAAGCCUGAUCCAGCCAUGCCGCGUGCAGGAUGAAGGCCUUCGGGUUGUAAACUGCUUUUGUACGGAACGAAAAGAUUUGGCCUAAUAAGCUGAGCUCAUGACGGUACCGUAAGAAUAAGCACCGGCUAACUACGUGCCAGCAGCCGCAGUAA
rnacentral:rRNA from 1 species